CGGACGGGUGAGUAAUGUCUGGGAAACUGCCCGAUGGAGGGGGAUAACUACUGGAAACGGUAGCUAAUACCGCAUAACGUCGCAAGACCAAAGAGGGGGACCUUCGGGCCUCUUGCCAUCGGAUGUGCCCAGAUGGGAUUAGCUAGUAGGUGAGGUAACGGCUUACCUAGGCGACGAUCCCUAGCUGGUCUGAGAGGAUGAUCAGCCACACUGGAACUGAGACACGGUCCAG
rnacentral:rRNA from 1 species